UACGUAGGGUGCGAGCGUUAAUCGGAAUUACUGGGCGUAAAGCGUGCGCAGGCGGUUAUGCAAGACAGAGGUGAAAUCCCCGGGCUCAACCUGGGAACUGCCUUUGUGACUGCAUAGCUAGAGUACGGUAGAGGGGGAUGGAAUUCCGCGUGUAGCAGUGAAAUGCGUAGAUAUGCGGAGGAACACCGAUGGCGAAGGCAGUCCCCUGGGCCUGUACUGACGCUCAUGCACGAAAGCGUGGGGAGCAAACAGG
rnacentral:rRNA from 1 species